AACAGGGAACGUGAGCUGGGGUUAGACCGUCGUGAGACAGGUUAGUUUUACCCUACUGCUGUCUGUUUUUCUACGGUAAUUUGGUUCAGUACGAGAGGAACCACCAAUUCGCAUCCUCGGUAUAGCCGCCGUCGGAAACGACGAUGCGGCGAAGCUGCCAUGCGCCGGAUUAUAACUGAACGCCUCUAAGUUAGAAUCCAUGCCGGAAGGAAAGCUCCUUACCGGCCCGGGGACGCCACGAGCAACGGUAGCACUGCCUGAGCCGCGAGCGACCACAAUUUACGGACCCGGGCCGAUGAAUCCCUUGCAGACGACUUGAAUAAGGAACGGGGUAUUGUACGCGGCAGAGUGGCCUUGUUGCCACGAUCCGCUGAGAUUCAGCCUUGGUUCUGAAGAUUU
rnacentral:rRNA from 14 species